CCCUGUGAACAUACCUAAACGUUGCUUCGGCGGGAAUAGACGGCCCCGUGAAACGGGCCGCCCCCGCCAGAGGACCCUUAACUCUGUUUCUAUAAUGUUUCUUCUGAGUAAAACAAGCAAAUAAAUUAAAACUUUCAACAACGGAUCUCUUGGCUCUGGCAUCGAUGAAGAACGCAGCGAAAUGCGAUAAGUAAUGUGAAUUGCAGAAUUCAGUGAAUCAUCGAAUCUUUGAACGCACAUUGCGCCCGCCAGUAUUCUGGCGGGCAUGCCUGUUCGAGCGUCAUUACAACCCUCAGGCCCCCGGGCCUGGCGUUGGGGAUCGGCGGAGCCCCCCGUGGGCACACGCCGUCCCCCAAAUACAGUGGCGGUCCCGCCGCAGCUUCCAUCGCGUAGUAGCUAACACCUCGCGACUGGAGAGCGGCGCGGCCACGCCGUAAAACACCCAACUCUUCUGAAGUUGACCUCGAAUCAGGUAGGAAUACCCGC
rnacentral:rRNA from 1 species